rnacentral:tRNA from 1 species
UCUUCGAUGGUCUAGUGGUGAUGAUUUCCGCUUGUCAAAGCAUCUGCUUCUUCCCAAGCGCGGGAGACCGGGGUUCGAUUCCCCGUCGGAGAG